rnacentral:tRNA from 1 species
GGGGAGGUAGCUAAAUUGGCAGAGCACUGAAAGCCGGAUGUAACUAUGUGCAGAAGAUACUGGUUCGAGUCCAGUCCUCCCAUUUUCCCA